rnacentral:rRNA from 1 species
GUUUGACCUCGGAUCAGGUAGGGAUACCCGCUGAACUUAAGCAUAUCAAUAAGCGGAGGAAA